UAUGAGAAAACCGUAUUAGUCCGCGGGAAGUUUUCUUUGGGGUUGCAGAAAUUUGGUUUACGGAGCUCGGCUUGGGAAAUGUCUUCAAUGCAUCAGGUAUCCACCUCUUUAUCUGAUGUGAUCCACUAUUAUCCAGUAUUAUCACCCAGCUUCUCUAACCUCAUCUACCAAACAAUUUGUGCUUUCUUGUCAUUGGUAGGGUAAGUGAACCUCUCUUU
rnacentral:lncRNA from 1 species